UUGAACGCUGGCGGCAGGCCUAACACAUGCAAGUCGCGCGGAUGAAGGGAGCUUGCUCCUGGAUUCAGCGGCGGACGGGUGAGUAAUGCCUAGGAAUCUGCCUGGUAGUGGGGGAUAACGUCCGGAAACGGGCGCUAAUACCGCAUACGUCCUGAUGGAGAAAGUGGGGGAUCUUCGGACCUCACGCUAUCAGAUGAGCCUAGGUCGGAUUAGCUAGUUGGUGGGGUAAAGGCCUACCAAGGCGACGAUCCGUAACUGGUCUGAGAGGAUGAUCAGUCACACUGGAACUGAGACACGGUCCAGACUCCUACGGGAGGCAGCAGUGGGGAAUAUUGGACAAUGGGCGAAAGCCUGAUCCAGCCAUGCCGCGUGUGUGAAGAAGGUCUUCGGAUUGUAAAGCACUUUAAGUUGGGAGGAAGGGCAGUAAGUUAAUACCUUGCUGUUUUGACGUUACCAUCAGAAUAAGCACCGGCUAACUUCGUG
rnacentral:rRNA from 1 species